rnacentral:rRNA from 1 species
AGCGAACGCUGGCGGCAGGCUUAACACAUGCAAGUCGAGCGGGCAUCCUUGUGGUGUCAGCGGCAGACGGGUGAGUAACGCGUGGGAACGUGCCCUUCGGUUCGGAAUAACUCAGGGAAACUUGAGCUAAUACCGGAUACGUGCGAGAGCAGAAAGGUUUAUCUGCCGAAGGAUCGGCGCGCGUCUGAUUAGCUGGUUGGUGAGGUUAUGGCUCACCAAGGCGACGAUCAGUAGCUGGUUUGAGAGGAUGAGCAGCCACACUGGGACUGAGACACGGCCCAGACUCCUACGGGAGGCAGCAGUGGGGAAUAUUGGACAAUGGGGGCAACCCUGAUACAGCCAUGCCGGGUGAGUGAUGAUGGCCUUAGGGUUGUAAAGCCCUUUUCUCCGGGACGAUAAUGACGGUACCGGAGGAAUAAGCCCCGGCUAACUUCGUG